AGGGAGCUGUGAGUACAUCAUUAGUAUUUUUCCUGAGCUCAUGGUGCAUCGAGAAAAAAGGUCCUUUAUAUGUCUCGAUGUUCAAUCCGUUGUUGUUGGUUAUUUCUGCAUUUCUCAGUUGGACUUUGCUUCGUGAGAAAUUAUACCUUGGAGUGUAAGCAUAUAAAGCCAAAUACUUUAUUUUCAUAUUGUAAGCUAAUUACUAUAAAAAAAAAUAUUGUAAAACAUUUAGCAUUUGUUUGAUCAUUUUUUGAAAUAUAUCAGAGGUUGUAGGGUCAAUCAUAGUAGUGGCUGGGCUUUACGGAUUUUUGUGGGGAAAAAAGAUGGAGACAAAUGCAGAGGAUAUUGAAGUAAAUAAAGAGAAGAUGAAUCAGUUGAGUAAAUCAAUUGAUUUGGAAUUACAAUUACCCAACUCUAAUGAUCAGAUAUCAUCAGAAUUAACCAAAACUAAACUCCAAAUAUGAGGAAUUGGAGUUGUAAUUGUAACAACUACUAAAAUUAAUCUCUUCCAAUUUGUGUAUCGGACAAUAUAUGAAUAAAACCAUUUACCUUUCGGAUCGUAUGGAUUAUUUGCAAGUUUUUCAUACCAUGCCGGUUCUAUAUUUUUGAAGCAUCUCCUUCCUUUGUUGUUAACUCCCUAAAAAGAGAUGCUAAUGAAACUUCUUCACAUAGAUCAGUUCUCUUUUA
rnacentral:lncRNA from 1 species